rnacentral:rRNA from 1 species
UGCCACAGCCAUAUCACCCUGCACCCCAAGACUGCUUGCCCACCUGAAGCUAAGCGGGGUUGAGCCUGGUCAGUACCUGGAUGGGAGACCUCCUGGGAAAACUAGGUUACUGCUGGAAA